AGAACGAACGCUGGCGGCAUGCCUAACACAUGCAAGUCGAACGCUUCCGGGGCUUCGGUCGCGGAGGAGUGGCGCACGGGUGAGUAGCGCGUGGGAACCUGCCCUGUUGUGGGGGAUAACCGAGGGAAACUUCGGCUAAUACCGCAUACGCCCCGGGACUUGGUCUUCGGAUUAGGUCUGGGGGGAAAGAUUGAUCGCAGCAGGAGGGGCCCGCGUCGGAUUAGCUGGUUGGUGGGGUAACGGCUCACCAAGGCGAUGAUCCGUAGCUGGUCUGAGAGGAUGAUCAGCCACACUGGGACUGAGACACGGCCCAGACUCCUACGGGAGGCAGCAGUGGGGAAUAUUGGACAAUGGGGGCAACCCGUGAUCCAGCAAUGCCGCGUGAGUGAUGAAGGCCUUAGGGUUGUAAAGCUCUUUCGCCCGCGACGAUGAUGACGGUAGCGGGAGAAGAAGCCCGGCUAACUUCGUGCCAGCAGCCGCGGU
rnacentral:rRNA from 1 species